GACGAACGCUGGCGGCGUGCUUAACACAUGCAAGUCGAACGAUGAAGAAGAGAAACGCGAACUUCGGUUCAAAUUUCACUUCGGAUUAGUGGCAGACGGGUGAGUAACGCGUGAGCAACCUACCUCUUACAAAGGGAUAGCCUCGGGAAACCGUGAUUAAUACCAUAUGACACAUUCAUAAGGCAUCUUAAGAAUGUUAAAGCUACGGCGGUAAGAGAUGGGCCCGCGUCCCAUUAGCUAGUUGGUGAGGUAACGGCCCACCAAGGCGACGAUGGGUAACCGGCCUGAGAGGGUGAACGGUCACAUUGGAACUGAGACACGGUCCAAACUCCUACGGGAGGCAGCAGUGGGGAAUAUUGCACAAUGGAGGGAACUCUGAUGCAGCGACGCCGCGUGAGCGAUGAAGGAAUUCGUGUCGUAAAGCUCUGUUCUAUGGGAAGAAAAGGACUGUACCAUAGGAGAAAGCCCCGGCUAAAUACGUG
rnacentral:rRNA from 1 species